rnacentral:rRNA from 1 species
CCUUUGCAAUGUGCGCAAGCACGACAAGGUUAAUCCGAGUGUUUCCUGCUAAAGGAAUCUUUUGUUAGUUCUAAAACCACUGAUGAAUAAGGGGUGGGCAAGUUCUGGUGUCAGCCGCCGCGGUAAAACCAGCACCUCAAGUGGUCAGGAGGAUUAUUGGGCCUAAAGCAUCCGUAGCCUGUUCUGUAAGUUUUCGGUUAAAUCCAUUAGCUCAACUAAUGGGCCGCCGAAAAUACUGCAGAACUAGGGAGUGGGAGAGGUAGACGGUACUCGGUAGGAAGGGGUAAAAUCCUUUGAUCUAUUGAUGACCACCUGUGGCGAAGGCGGUCUACCAGAACACGUUCGACGGUGAGGGAUGAAAGCUGGGGGAGCAAACCGGGAUUAGAUA